rnacentral:tRNA from 1 species
GGGGAUUUAGCUCAAUGGUAGAGCGCUUGCCUAGCAAGCGCAAGGCCCUGGGUUCAGUUCCCAGCUCUG